AAUCCGUUUCCCUAAAACCCAACUCGCGGGCGUUAAGAGAAACUCCCAAAAGCGCAAAACACGGUUAAACGGGUUCCCAGAAGAGCAAUUGUACAACCCACCACGGGGAAACUGGAAACCCCCGGCCCCAGAAUCCCUACCGGGGAGGCCACCAAUGGGGGAAAAAAUGCCCACCAAAAGGGGGGAAACCCCGGAAGCCAGAACCCCGCCUGGAAGAAAACCAUUAAGGGGUAAACUCCCUUUAACAAGGAAGAGAGACGGACCUUGAGGAAUAAGCACCGCUAACUCCGUGCCAGCACCCCCGGUAAUACGGAGGGUCCAAGCGUUACUCGGAAUCACUGGGCGUAAAGCGCAUGUAGGCGGUUGUUUAAGUUAGAAGUGAAAGCCUACGGCUCAACCGUGGAACAGCUUCUAAAACGGAAAACUAGAGUCUGGGAGAGGAAGAUGGAAUUAGUAGUGUAGGGGUAAAAUCCGUAGAGAUUACUAGGAAUACCGAAAGCGAAGGCGAUCUUCUGGAACAGGACUGACGCUGAGAUGCGAAAGCGUGGGGAGCAAACAGGAUUAGAUACCCUGGUAGUCCACGCCCUAAACGAUGAAUGUUAGUCGUUGGAGUGCUAGCCACUUCAGUGAUGCAGCUAACGCAUUAAACAUUCCGCCUGGGGAGUACGGCCGCAAGGUUAAAACUCAAAGGAAUAGACGGGGACCCGCACAAGUGUGGAGCAUGUGGUUUAAUUCGAAGAUACGCGAAGAACCUUACCUGGCCUUGACAUAUACCAGAAUCUACCAGAGAUGGUGGAGUGCCUUCGGGAGCUGGUAUACAGGUGCUGCACGGCUGUCGUCAGCUCGUGUCGUGAGAUGUUGGGUUAAGUCCCGCAACGAGCGCAACCCUCGUGACUAGUUACUAACAGCAUAGGCUGAGGACUCUAGUCAGACUGCCUUCGUAAGGAGGAGGAAGGUGAGGACGACGUCAAGUCAUCAUGGCCCUUACGCCAGGGCGACACACGUGCUACAAUGGGAAGGACAAAGAGAAGCAAAACUGUGAGGAUGGAGCAGACGAUUCUCUAGAUAUCGCUCA
rnacentral:rRNA from 1 species